AGGUAGAGGGCACCAUUCCAGCUGCUGGAAGCAGUGAUAUUGGCAUGGAGAAAUCCAGGAAUCCAGCAUUUUUGCCUCUGAGCUCCACCACUGUGGUACAAAACAAGGACACGUGUAGUGUAAUGGGAUUAUUUUCCUUGGGAAGAACUUGAGCUGCCUUCUCCCUACCAGAAGUAGCCAAGAUGUCAGAAGACUGUCAGUUUCCAGAGAAGCAUAAUUCUUGCCAAUAAGAUUAAAGGCUGUUAAGACUACCAUCAUUUGUG